AGUAACGCGUGGGUAACCUGCCCUUAAGUCUGGGAUACCAUUUGGAAACAGAUGCUAAUACCGGAUAAAAGCUACUUUCGCAUGAAAGAAGUUUAAAAGGCGGCGUAAGCUGUCGCUAAAGGAUGGACCUGCGAUGCAUUAGCUAGUUGGUAAGGUAACGGCUUACCAAGGCGAUGAUGCAUAGCCGAGUUGAGAGACUGAUCGGCCACAUUGGGACUGAGACACGGCCCAAACUCCUACGGGAGGCAGCAGGA
rnacentral:rRNA from 1 species